GCAACGCGAAGAACCUUACCUGGUCUUGACAUCCCGGAGACCCUUAGGAAACUAGGGGGUGCUUCCAUCUGGAAGAAUCUGGAGACAGGUGCUGCAUGGCUGUCGUCAGCUCGUGUCGUGGGAUGUUGGGUUAAGUCCCGCAACGAGCGCAACCCUUGCCUUUAGUUGCCAGCAGUUCGGCUGGGCACUCUAAAGGGACUGCCGGUGUUAAACCGGAGGAAGGUGGGGAUGACGUCAAGUCCUCAUGGCCUUUAUGACCAGGGCUACACACGUACUACAAUGGCCGAUACAAAGGGCAGCGACACUGCGAGGUGAAGCCAAUCCCGUAAAAUCGGUCUCAGUCCGGAUUGGAGUCUGCAACUCGACUCCAUGAAGUUGGAAUCGCUAGUAAUCGUGGAUCAGCAUGCCACGGUGAAUACGUUCCCGGGCCUU
rnacentral:rRNA from 1 species